AACUGCUUACAUGCAAUCUAGUGGAAAUUAGACUCCAGGCUUUCCUCCAAAAACAACAGUGUGGCAGGGAAUAGGUAUGGGCUUUGGAGGGAAGUACAUAGACCUUGAUUAAGUCCAGUGGACUAACAGUAUGUAGUGCUCAGGGCCCAGGAAGCCCAGUGCAGACCAGGAUUGCUUUACAAACAUUCUACAUUCUGGCCAGAACAUUAGGGGUUCUAAGGUUCUACUAAUUAUGCUGGAGUCCAGGGCUUAGAAGGGGCUGUCUUAGGAUCCAGGGCUGCAAUGGGUUAUGGUCCCUGAGUGGGGUCCUCCGGUCCAACCCAGUAUCCGGUGCCUGUCACGUUCUCCCUGGCCGGGGUGACCAGGCCUGAGGGACAAUGUGCUGGUUGCGGGCAUGGGGCCAGAUUUUCCUGCCAGUUUUUCUCUCCCUUUUUCUCAUCCAACUUCUUAUCAACUUCUCUGAUAAGGGUUUUUUCCACUUCCACAGUCACAAGAACUGGAAGGAGAAACAUCAUUCAGGUGAAGAUGCAUGUGCUCAAAAGAAAAAUUGUCAAUCGUGCGCACAGGAUAAGAAAUGUGUUUGGUGCAAUGAAGACAGGAUCUGCAAAGCAUAUUGUUUUCCAUAUUUUGGGUGUCGAAUCAGUGCUGUAUAUUGGACAAAUUGUAAAAUUGACAUGUUUGGAAUCCUGAUGCUUGUCCUUAUUGCGAUCUUAGUUUCUGCGCUCCUUUGGUAUUGCUGUGCCUAUCACCUUUAUCUGCAGCAACGUCAUGCCUAUUUUUAUGGAAGACAAGAAACAGUUCGUGUUCACAACUGGAAUACUGGAUAUGAGGAAUAGAAAACUGAAAAGAUAGAUCUUCUAGAGAGAAGAGGAGGAAGUUUCUUCAAUGGUUGUAAUCUACCGUGUGGAAAAGAGGUCAUGGUGUCCCCACAUGGAGAAGGACUCACGGGUGAAGACACACAGUGCUGAGGUGCCAGCCAGGGUCUGUCAGGAGCACUGACGCACGGAAUCAGCAGAAGCUGUUCACACACAUAGUCUAUGCUAUAAGCUGCAGAAAUUCUGUCAAGCUAUUGGGAUGUUUCAAGGUACUAAGAAGUAUUUUGCUAAAUAAUGGGUCCUCUGGGAGUGGCAAAUUAGAUUGUAGCUUUCCAAAGUACCUUGAAUUGCAGGAUACAUAUUAGAUAUUAGGAAAAGCAUCAUACACACAAGAACUAUCUUACAAGAUAGUGGUUGCCCAAAGUAUGGUCAAGAGAAUCUGAGCAGUGCCCAGGCUCAGCGGGAGAGAGCGCUGAAGCCACCAGGAACAUCCACCCUGGGUGCGGGAGCCCGGAGUCCUGCGCUGAAAUUGUCCUUCCCUUCAUUAGAUGCUUCCAUGCUGCUGCUGAACUCUGCGUGCCUACAGUUCUCAGCACCCAGUUGAUCACACGUAUCACUGGGGAAAAAAGAAGAAAAGAAAGAGGCAAAUAAGUCCUCAUGAUUUUGUGGUAGUCUAGUCUUUCAGUUCCUAGAUUUGGGAAACAAAGCAGAAUGUCAGGCUCUCUAGAGUGAACGAAUGAAACAAGCAAAUUAUAUGCCUUUAGUAACAUAAGUAAGGGAGAAUCAUACACACAUUUUCCACUCAGCCCAUUCCUAAUACAAGGUUUAACGGUGCAUGUGUGCACACGUGCCUUUAGUUGUUCGGAAUUUUAGAUAGUCUAGUGGGAGUAUCAUAGGGAAAGGAAAUUCUUCCUGAAAGAGAAAAGUUAUUUAAAUCUGUCCAGUUCAAGAAGUGAAUUAUAGAAAACUAUGGGCGGGGACCAUAACAAGCAGACACUGAGUUGAGUUAUUCACCAGGAGAGUUCAUGGUAAGGUCAUUAGUAAAAUUUUAGAUGAGACUUUGCAUAGUUCUAUGUAAAUAAUUGUUUUGCAGCUCUUGUUUUAUAAGUACUCAUUGUCUAUUUACUUUUACAUUUAUCUAUUCAUCUAUUUAUUUAUUUACAAUUACAUUUACUAUUUUUAAUCUUUAAAAAGUUAUAUACAACACUUCAGAAAAAUAGUAUAAUUUAAAUAACUAUGGGAAUAAUUUUAAAAUGAUUUUGUUUUACAAAAUUUGAGAGCUGUAACCCUUUGUAUUUCUUCUCACACUUUACUCUGUUGUAAGCAUCUACAGCAGUCAUUGUUGUUACAUGGGAAUAUAAGCUGCUCUAGUCCUGGCCUAUCUCCAGUCUCUUCUGAUGAAUUUUCUUUUUCUUGCCCGCUGACAUUUUCAAGGGUCAACUUUCAUAAUCCCUUAUAUGAGAGUGUAAGAUAUCCAUGGUGCCUGCAAUCAAACUUAAAAUCCAAUUGCUGAGAAAAUAACCACUAGAAAUAGAUAAUGAACAAGAAAGUGUUACUAAAAGGUUAGACAAUAGAUCUACAGGGAUUAAUACAAUCAUUUUAUACCUUGAUUGCAUUCCUUUUUAAGAAAACAGAUUUAUUUAUUUGAAAGUCAGAGUUAAGAGAGAGAUCUUCCAUCAGCUGGUUCACUCCUCAAAUGGCCACAGUGGCUGGGGCUGGGCCAGGACAAAGCCAGGAGCCAGGAGCUUCUUCUAGAUCUCCCAUAUGGAUGGCAGGGACUUACAGGCGUGGGUCAUCUUCUGCUGCUUUCUCCAGUCCAUUAGCAUGGACUUGAAUUGGAUGUGGAGCAGCUGAGACAGCAACUGGUACCCAUAUAGGAUGCUGGUGACACUGGUGGCAGCUGAACCUGCUAUGCCACAACCCUGGCUCCUUAUUGUAUACUUACACCGUUUUCAGCCACAGACGAACUCCUUAGUGAGAUAGGCAGAGACCUUCACAGUUUAGACUCAAGAUAUGAAACAACAUAUCAUAAAGGCACCAUUACCAUUUCCUUUGCACACUUAAUAUUUCUUUUCUUGGAUGUUUGUUACUCUAUUUUCUUUCUGAUAAGGGACUUUGGCACCAAAUCCCAGUAUUCAUUUCUAAAAAUAUUAAAUUGUUUUUGAAAACUCAUCUUAACUGCCAUUUCUAAAACAUUUUCCUGGUUUCCCUUAAGCUGUAAUUAUCUUGUGUUCCCUGCUUUACUUUCUCUUCUUUCCUGGCAUUCAUCUGAAUGUAGAAAUUGUGUUCCAUUAGUAGAAGUGCAGAAAUGUAGACAGUUCCUGUCUUUGAUACCCUGGGUGCCUUCCUCUCUCUCUGUCUCAGUUUCCUCAUCUGUAAAAUCAGGGUUAAAAAGAACUGUUUGUUCACGUGUGGUGAGAAAAUGAACUAACAUAAGUAAAGCAGUGAUAAAAGUGCCUAGCACAUAGUAAAUUCCACUGGCAAUGAGGGCUUCUGACAGAGGCUUACCUGGAAGAUGGUAGGUAUACACACUGACUCGAAUAGUAGUGAUAAAGCUGUGUAAACUUUGAGUACAGUUUGUUCUGAAUCCAACAAAAAUAAAUGGAGGUGGAAAGGGAUGCAUCAGGAUAGAUGGAGUUGGUUGAAUAAGCAUUUAUUAAAUUUUUACCGCAUGCCGUGCAUUAGGGACACAACUUGAACAAGACAGGGAAUGUUCUCUGCCCUUAUGGAACUUAUAUUCCAGUGUGGAUAUGAAAAAGUGAGGGAAAAGGAAAAAAAAAUUUAAAAUUGUGACACUGCUGGGAAAAAGGGAAGGGACUGAAAGGAUUAGGGAACCUACUUAAGAUAAAGAAAGGUCUCUCGGAGAGUGUAGCGUUUAAUCAAUAGCGUGAGGAGUCAUCCAGAAGAGCAGUAGGGGUGGAGCAUACGAGAGGUAGGCCCCAAGGUGAGAUGCAGCUUGGGGUGGCAGAGGUUCAGGACGUGGAGACACACAGAGGGAUCAGUCUGUGUAGAGAUUUGUAGGCCAUUACAAGGAACUGGGGUUGCUCUGGACCUGAGGAGAGGAUGUGAUUUUCAGCGGGGCUUAAUUAAGCCUGUGUGAAAUAGAGAGAAAUGUGUGGAAGUAGAUAUUUGAGACGAAAAAGCAAAGGCAUAGAGUUGUGACUAAGAGUGUGUCAGGAGACGAGAACUAGUCAGAUGGAGUUGCAGAGUUGCACUGGGGAAUAUGAAAAACUAUUUUUCUUUGGAAGGUGUCAUUCUGCAGAACAGCUGCUGCUUCGCAGGGAUGGACUUUGACAGGAUUUUUCUCAAUUCAGACAAAAGUUGAACUGAUGUGGUGACCUUUUGGAAUAGAUGAUUUCUUUACUGCCAAGUUGAACCCUUUCUGGGAAUAUUUGUGCUGAGUGAGCGCUAACCCUAGUGCAGGGUGGUUUCUUCUCUUUCAUGUCAGGAGAAGGAAAUAAAUCAUUUAUGUUAGUUUGGGUAAUUGAAGAAGCUUUUCAUUUCCAAUUUGCUCUGGUGUGUGUGUGACUAAUUUGAGUUUAUAAUCAUUAUUACCCAUGUACAGCUUUUCAAGGGAUGAACCAGGAGUUGGAAAACAUUAAGUUUCUAUAAAAAUUGAUGUAAUGGUCUUGAACUUAAGCUUUCUGGUCUUAAUGUGAAACUUGAGAGUUAACAUUGUAUUAUAUUUCCAAUAAUGACUGUGUCCUUUUUC